GAUGAAGAACGUAGCGAAAUGCGAUAAGUAAUGUGAAUUGCAGAAUUCAGUGAAUCAUCGAAUCUUUGAACGCACAUUGCGCCCGCCAGUAUUCUGGCGGGCAUGCCUGUCUGAGCGUCAUUUCAACCCUCAUGCCCCUAGGGCGUGGUGUUGGGGAUCGGCCAAAGCCCGCGAGGGACGGCCGGCCCCUAAAUCUAGUGGCGGACCCGUCGUGGCCUCCUCUGCGAAGUAGUGAUAUUCCGCAUCGGAGAGCGAUGAGCCCCUGCCGUUAAACCCCCAACUUUCCAAGGUUGACCUCAGAUCAGGUAGGAAUACCCGCUGAACUUAAGCCUAUCAAUAAGCGGAGGA
rnacentral:misc_RNA from 1 species